AGCGAACGCUGGCGGCAGGCCUAACACAUGCAAGUCGAACGGAUCCUUCGGGAUUAGUGGCGGACGGGUGAGUAACACGUGGGAACGUGCCCUUUGGUUCGGAACAACUCAGGGAAACUUGAGCUAAUACCGGAUGUGCCCUUCGGGGGAAAGAUUUAUCGCCAUUGGAGCGGCCCGCGUAGGAUUAGCUAGUUGGUGGGGUAAAGGCCCACCAAGGCUACGAUCCUUAGCUGGUCUGAGAGGAUGAUCAGCCACAUUGGGACUGAGACACGGCCCAAACUCCUACGGGAGGCAGCAGUGGGGAAUCUUGCGCAAUGGGCGAAAGCCUGACGCAGCCAUGCCGCGUGAAUGAUGAAGGUCUUAGGAUUGUAAAAUUCUUUCACCGGGGGACGAUAAUGACGGUACCCGGAGAAGAAGCCCCGGCUAACUUCGUGCCAGCAGCCGCGGUAAU
rnacentral:rRNA from 1 species